UACGUAGGGUGCGAGCGUUAAUCGGAAUUACUGGGCGUAAAGUGUGCGCAGGCGGCCGAGCAAGUCGAGUGUGAAAGCCCCGAGCUUAACUUGGGAACUGCGCUCGAAACUACUUGGCUAGAGUGUGGCAGAGGGAGGUGGAAUUCCACGUGUAGCAGGUGAAAUGCGUAGAGAUGUGGAGGAACACCGAUGGCGAAGGCAGCCUCCUGGGCCAGCACUGACGCUCAUGCACGAAAGCGUGGGGAGCAAACAGG
rnacentral:rRNA from 1 species